rnacentral:rRNA from 1 species
UACGAAGGGUGCAAGCGUUACUCGGAAUUACUGGGCGUAAAGCGUGCGUAGGCGGUUCGUUAAGUCUGUCGUGAAAGCCCUGGGCUCAACCUGGGAAUUGCGAUGGAUACUGGCGAGCUAGAGUACGGUAGAGGAUGGUGGAAUUCCCGGUGUAGCGGUGAAAUGCGUAGAGAUGGGAGGAACACCCGUGGCGAAGGCGGCCAUCUGGACCAGUACUGACGCUGAGGCACGAAAGCGUGGGGAGCAAACAGG